rnacentral:lncRNA from 1 species
UUUUUCAUGCAUUUAUUAUGAAAUGUGGUAAAGUUGUAAAGUAGGUUCCACAUUUAUCCUAAAAUAUAGUAUUUGUAUACAGGUUUUACCCGUAGUUAUUAAGAAAUGCGGUAAAAUUAUAAAGAAGGUGCAACAUUUGUCUUAAAAUGGAUGUGUUAUAAUUAUUUUUCACACAUUUGUAUGAAAUAUGCUAAAUUUACAAAUUAGAUACCACAUUUAUCCAAAAAUAUGGUAUUUG